rnacentral:rRNA from 1 species
UGGGGAAUAUUGCGCAAUGGGGGAAACCCUGACGCAGCAACGCCGCGUGGGUGACGAAGGUCUUCGGAUUGUAAAACCCUGUCUUCUGGGACGAUAAUGACGGUACCAGAGGAGGAAGCCACGGCUAACUACGUGCCAGCAGCCGCGGUAAUACGUAGGUGGCGAGCGUUGUCCGGAUUUACUGGGCGUAAAGGAUGCGUAGGCGGAUCUUUAAGUGGGAU